GCUAAAAGUCUAGCCCUAUAACCUCCAUAGAAUUUACUUCCUAACCCCCUCCUCCCUUUUUAACUAAAACAUUUACACUCUUUAGUAAAGGCGAUUGAAACACUAAUUAGAGCUAUAACAAUAAUACCGCAAGGAAAAGAUGAAAUAUUAGUGAAAUAAAAAUUAAGCAUAAAAAAGCAGAGGCAUCUUCUCGUACCUUUUGCAUCAUGGUUUAACUAGUCUAACCAGGCAAAAAGAACUUUAGUCUGGCCUCCCGAAACUAAACGAGCUACUUCGGAGCAGCUUAAUGAGCACACCCGUCUCUGUUGCAAAAGAGUGGGAAGACUCCUAAGUAGCGGUGACAGACCUAACGAGUUUAGUGAUAGCUGGUUACUUAAAAAAAGGAUUUUAGUCCAACCUAAAGCAACUUUAAUAUAUUUAGAUACCUCAUGCUUUAGAAUCAUUCAAAUGAGGUACAGCCCAUUUGAAGCCAGGAUACAACCUAUAUUAAUGGAUAAUGUAUGCCCUCUCCCAAACAAGUGGGCCUAAAAGCAGCCACCUUUAAAAUAGCGUCAAAGCUUUCUUACGCCGGGCACAAAUACCCCAAUCUAUUCCGACCCCUUUAUUCCUAUUAAGUAAUUCUAUAAAUUUAUAGAAGCUAUUAUGUUAAAACUAGUAAUAUGAAGCAGACCUUCUCUUAAAUGUAAGUGUAAGCCAGAAAGGACACACCACUGGCAUUUAUCGUUUAUGAUUGUAAAACAGCAACUUCACUAGAAAACCCUGCUAUCUAAACCGUUAACCUAACACUAACACAUUCCAAGAAAGAUUUAAAGAAAAAGAAGGAACUCGGCAAAUAUUAACCUCGCCUGUUUACCAAAAACAUCGCCUCUUGAAUAUAUAUAUAAGAGGUCCAGCCUGCCCAGUGACUAAAUUCAACGGCCGCGGUAUCCUAACCGUGCGAAGGUAGCGUAAUCACUUGUUCUUUAAAUGAGGACUAGUAUGAAUGGCACCACGAGGGUUAUACUGUCUCCUUUUUCUAAUCAAUGAAACUGAUCUCCCCGUGAAGAAGCGGGGAUAAAACUAUUAGACGAGAAGACCCUAUGGAGCUUCAAACAACAUAGCAAUAGCUUAUUUAUCUAUACAAUUUCAGAAUACCUAUACUUAUCUUAGCCUUUUGACUAUUAGUUUUGGGUUGGGGUGACCACGGAGCAAAACCUAACCUCCAUGUUGGAUAGAUCUUCUCUUGAGCCAAAAGCCACAACUUUAAGCACCAAUAAACUGACAUAACUUGACCCAAUAUUUUGAGCAACGAACCAAGUUACCCUAGGGAUAACAGCGCAAUCCACUUCAAGAGCCCCUAUCGACAAGUGGGUUUACGACCUCGAUGUUGGAUCAGGGUACCCCAGUGGUGCAGCCGCUACUAAAGGUUCGUUUGUUCAACGAUUAAAACCCU
rnacentral:rRNA from 1 species